rnacentral:lncRNA from 1 species
AGAGAAUUAAAUAGAAUAUAGAACAGAUGAGAGGGGGAGAGAGAGAGAGAGAGAGAGAGAGUGGAAGGGAGUCUGACACUGGUGAAGGGAGAAUAGAAAAGAAAGAGGACAAGUGAUUUAGAGAAGAAUGUGUGAGAGAGAGAAAGAGUAAGAGAAUAAUAAAGAGAGAACAUAGAUAGAUAGAAAUGUGAAAGAGAGAAAUAAAACAGAAAGAAAGAGUGGUGGGAUAAGUUACGAUAUUGGCCUCUAACGAGAGAAUGUCGGCUAAACAUCUAAAGGCUAGUGUUGGUGUUAGAUUUUAACUCCGCAGACUGGCACACGGGCUUUUGAGUAGAACAAACACACAUACACACAGCCAAUCACUCACUCACUCAUUCAUUGACACACACACGCUCAUACGUAUACUAUUUCUUUUUCUCUUUCUCUCUCUCUCCUGUACAGACACACAGACACAGAACCGGGUAACCUGUUUAAUGUUUUUGAUUUCUAUUAAGGAAGCUGGCAUUUAAUUCGCAGCUUUACUGAGAGGUCUUAAAAGAAAAACACACACAAAACAGAAAAAGACAGAAAGAAAGCGGAGAUAAAAGAGAAGAGAGAAGAAAUACACGGAAAAUUAUUCUGCUGUUUAUAACCUAACUGUACAUAACACCAACGGAUUUGAAUAAUAGGACAAUACUAGUUGGAUUUUGACAUUUUAUUUUUAAAAAAAAUUUUAACACACAUCGAAAAGAAAAUGAGAAAGACAGUGAGAUGAAAGGAAAUAUCCUUUGAUUUCGUUAUGUAGCUUGUUUUAUUCCAAAUAACCUACUGUAUAAAUCAGUUUAUUUAUCGUCUCUUCCUGGUACGAAUCAAGCACCUUUGGAUGAAGAAGGGAAGUGUGAGAUUGACAGACAAGAUAAAUAUAUAGAAGAGGUGAAAAGAGCACAGCAGUACACGGCGGCGGUGUUGCGUUAAUAAGUACGAAGCGUGUGUGUGUGUAUAUAUAUAUAUAUAUAUAUAUGUAAAGAGGCGAAAGGAAAGAGGUAACUUGAAAAUGAAAAAGUGACUAGGAAGAGAGAAAUCACUACAAAGGUGGUAACAAGUAUUACAGAAAAACGUUAAAAAAACCCGAAAAACAAAAGCAGGAUUCUUUAUCUACACACAUGGACGUAUAUAUAAAUAUAUAUAUAUACAUAAAAGGAAAAAAAAAAGAAGUGAAGUGUAGAGAGAGAAAGAUAGAGUGGGUGAGAGAAAGAGAGAGCUGGAGGUAAAAAAAAGAGAAAAAAACCCAAAAAUAGAUGUGUAGAAAGAUAAACUGAAAAAAAAUAGGCUAUCGAAUACAUAUAUAUAUAUAUAUAUAUAUAAAGAACUGAUGAAUGAAUGAUGUAUAUAUAGAGAGAGAUUGAGAAAUGCACACUCAGAAAUAUGUAUCUAUCAAUAUGAAUGGUGAGGAGUGAUAGUUAGAGAGAGAAAGAGUAAAAGGUAUUGAAAGGGGGGAAAAGUGGAAAAAAGAAGCAACAUACACGCGUGCUCAGUCUCUCUCUCUCUCAGUCACACGUACGCAGGCGCACACACACGCAGGAGCGCUACGAGGAAUUGAUAGAGAAGCUGCGGGAGGGCGAACGAACGAACAGGGGAAAAUACAGAAUCACCGAUAAAGAACAAACUCAAAAAAGACUCAGAUAUAUACCCACACACACACACUAUAUAUAUAUAUCUAUAUAUUUGCAGAGAAAGGACGUAAAGAAAAUAUAUAUGUGCAUAUAAUAUUUUUUGUUUGUGGUGGGGUGAAAGAUGGAUGAUGAAAAGUUGUGUUGUUGGCCGCCGCAUCAUCAUCCGUCGUCGUCGUUGUCCUCUCCUUUCUCUCUAUUGUUGCUGUUGCCGAAGGUGGCGGAGAUGAUGAAACUGAAUAAGAUGAUGAUAAUAAUGAUGAUGGUAGUGGUGGUGGUUGCCUCUCGUCGAGUGUGAAAAGACCAUGCUGCAAAGGAGGGUUGUACUCACAGUAUGUAACUCUGAUGUGAGGAGCUGCUGCUGCUAGUAAGACCGACGUGUCCAUUUUGUAAGCGAGCCGCUCAUUGGUCGAUUGCUGGCUACAUGCUCUUAAUUGGGCGCUAUUAGCUUCGAAUGUCUUUACGUAGUAUUUUCAUGGCGGAUUCAAAACGUGUGUCGGGAGUCUUUUGAUAUUAAUCUUUAAAAAAAAAAGGGGGAAAAAAAAAUAACAAACAGACAAAAGAAAAAACAAACAGGAAAGAAGACAAACAAAACAAAAAUUACGUAUCUUUUAAACUUUCUUUGACCAUGCCGCACGUUAGUUCGGGCGGCUCCGAGGACUUUUUCUCUAAAGACGAGGUCAAAGUUUAUAAAGAUGAAGGCGAAGAAGAGAAGCGAUCCUCGGAAAAUCUUUCCGAAGAUAAGUUGGGUUUAGUAACUGAGAGUGAAGAGGUAUGUUUUCGCCAAAAAAAAAAAAAAAUGUGCUGAUUAUUUAUCUUUCCUAUAUGUCUACAGCUAUCUAAUGUAUAUAUAUAUAUAUAUAUAUAUAUAUAUAUGUAUGUAUACAUAUAUAUGUGUGUGUGUAUGUAUAUAUAUAUAUAUAUAUAUAUGUAUAUAUAUAUAUAUACACACAUAUAUAUAUAUACACACAUGCUUCUAUAUAAUUAUAGUCUUGGUGCUAUACCCUUAUUAUAUAUAUAUAUAUAUAUAUAUAUAUAUAUAUAUAAAAGUGUGUGUGUUGUUUGUGUAUAUAUAUAAAUACACACACACACAUAUAUAUAUAUAUAUAAAUACACAUACAUAGCUGUGCGUAUUUGCUACACAUUAUUACAGUAAAAAAAAAUACGUGAUGUAUAUGGAGUUUACCUUUGCCUUUGAACGACGGUUUGCUUGCUCCGGAAGAAAUCAUAUUAUUUAUCGGUGUGUAUUUACCAUUUCAGGGGAAAAACUCCAGUUUACCAGGACAAAGUUACCCUGGAGGCGAGAAGUCUAAUACAUCAGGGCGCCCAGAAGACGGUAUGUUGUCAUAUUGAUGUCUGUGCGUGUGUGUUUAUAUAUAUAUAUAUAUAUAUGUAUAUGUAUGUAUGUAUGCACGCACUUGUAUUUAUCGUGUUGCAAAUCCAUUUAUUUAAUUAAAAAAAAAAAAGAGAGAAAUCUAAAACAAAAAUACCCUGUAAGCAUCGCAUUUCAUAUCGGAUGUAGCUUUAAUUUUAUUUACAAAAUUGGAAAUAGUAUGUUUUGUUAUGAUUGUCAGUUUUGGAAGAUCUUAUAUACUAUAAUGCAUACCCUAUAUGAAAUAUAUAUAUAAUGUGAUUCCUCUUUGGCCUACUCCUUCGAGCUGGAAUCACUCGAUUAUUGUUUAGUGGUCGGCCGCUUUUUAAUUUGUCGUGUUUAAUCAAUGAUCGAUAUGUUGUAACAUAACACAAACAUACGCACUCACACAUUUUAUACACUUGUAGGAUAUGCUUAUCUUACUAUCCAUCCUAUGGAUGAGUUAAGCCGUUCAUUUCUAGAGGAAUUCGCAUAGAACAGGAUAUUUUUAUUUAUUUUUAUAUUGUAAGCGUGGCAGCCAGCGAUCCCCACUUUUUUUUUUUUAGUAAAAAAGAUAUAUAUCUAUGUAUUAAAACCAGAAAAAAAAAGAAAAGCUGUGGUCACAAUAUUAAAAAAGAAAAUGGUCAAGUGAUCUCAUAUAUAUAACCCCUAUGUAUGUGUGUGUGUAAUUAUCUUUAUAUCAAUGUGUCUAUCUUUCUAUCUCUGCUGACAUCAAAGGAAUUGUGUCGAUUGUUUGCAUACCGUCACCAGUCUUGACAAAAUGACCUGAUUUUCACUAUUAUUAUUAUUAUUACUACAUAGUUACUAAUUUUUCAUGUUUUAUCUUGGCACAUAUAUAUACACAUUAACAGAUGCACACACGUACACACUAAUAUGGUAAUAUAUCUAUAUCUAUCUUUUACUAACUGCCUAUCUCUUCAUAUUUAUAUAUACAUAAUACGAUGAUCUAUAAUCGUAUCUGUAUGUACGUGUGUGUGUGUAUUUAUAUAUUAGUCGUAUAACAAGCACAACUUGCACUAUUGCCCGUUAUGCGCCUGUAGUAUGAAGUAGGAUUGUGUAGAAGUUAUUUUGAUCGAUAACUAUUGGCAAUUAAAUUUAAGGCGAUUGUUCGUUGUAGGUCAGAUGAAAGUGAAUGUGAGAGAUGUAGUAAAAAAACCCAGAAAAAUAUGUAUUUAUAUAUAUAUAUAGCUAGCUAUACAUAUAUUUAAAUCCCAAAUUCAUAUCUUCGUAUCUGUAUACAAUUUGCGAAUAUGUAGAGAGAUGUAUUGCUUUUCGGUUUUAGCUGGUCACAAACUGGGGGGUCUCGUUUUCAUGUUUUUAUCUACUUAAUUUUCCACAGUUUUUUUUUGUUUUCGCUGAUUUAACCGUGACAGAUCCUUUAUUCAUUUAUAAGCAGGUUAGAGAUUUUUUUAUAUGCGUGUGGUGUGUGUGUACACACAGGCCCUACUUGACGUUUAUAAAGCUUUUGUGUGUGUGUGUGUGUGUGUGUGUGUGUAUGUAUUUUCUUUCUAUAUUUAUCUUCGGUUAAUGCAAUUUUUCUAACCGGGUCUAUUAGACCAUAUGAUGUGUG